ACUCGCGUCCGAACGAUCACGGCG
rnacentral:miRNA from 1 species